rnacentral:rRNA from 1 species
AGAGUUUGAUCAUGGCUCAGAAUGAACGCUGGCGGCGUGCCUAACACAUGCAAGUCGCACGAGAACGUUUCAGCUUGCUGGAACUAGUAAAGUGGCGCACGGGUGAGUAACGCGUGGGUAAUCUGCCUCCGAAUUGGGGAUAACGUUGCGAAAGCGACGCUAAUACCGGAUAAUAUCUCGAGCACCUCGGUGCUUGAGAUCAAAGGUGGCCUCUGCAUGGAAGCUACCGUUUGGAGAUGAGCCCGCGUACCAUUAGCUUGUUGGUAGGGUAAAGGCCUACCAAGGCGACGAUGGUUAGCUGGUCUGAGAGGAUGAUCAGCCACACUGGAACUGGAACACGGUCCAGACUCCUACGGGAGGCAGCAGUGAGGAAUUUUGCGCAAUGGGGGAAACCCUGACGCAGCAACGCCGCGUGAGUGAUGAAGGCCUUCGGGUCGUAAAGCUCUGUCAAGUGGGAAGAACCUGCCCUGUGCUAAUAUCACCGGGCACUGACGGUACCACUGAAGGAAGCACCGGCUAACUCCGUGCCAGCAGCCGCGGUAACACGGAGGGUGCAAGCGUUAUUCGGAAUCACUGGGCAAAGAGCGCGUAGGCGGUUUCUUAAGUCAGAUGUGAAAGCCCGGGGCUUAACCCCGGAAGUGCAUUUGAAACUAAGGGACUUGAGUAUGGGAGAGGGAAGUGGAAUUCCUGGUGUAGCGGUGAAAUGCGUAGAUAUCAGGAGGAACACCGGUGGCGAUGGCGACUUCCUGGACCAAUACUGACGCUGAGGCGCGAAGGCGUGGGGAGCAAACAGGAUUAGAUACCCUAGUAGUCC